ACCCCUGUAGCUCAGCCAGGAAAGAGCGCGCCGCUACGAACGGCGUGGUCGCAGGUUCAAAUCCUGCCAGGGGUA
rnacentral:tRNA from 1 species